GACGAACGCUGGCGGCGUGCCUAAUACAUGCAAGUCGAGCGAAGAGGCGGAUGGGUGAGUAACGCGUGGGUAACCUGCCCUUAAGUCUGGGAUACCAUUUGGAAACAGAUGCUAAUACCGGAUACUAAAGGAUGGACCUGCGAUGCAUUAACUAGUUGGUAAGGUAACGGCUUACCAAGGCGAUAAUGCAUAGCCGAGUUGAGAGACCAUUCGGCCACAAUGUGACUGUGACACGUCCCAAACUCCUACGGUAGGCAGCAGUAGCGAAUCUUCCACCAUGGACGAAAGCCGGACGGAGCAACGCCGCGUUAGUGAUGAAGGUCUUCGGAUCGUAAAACUCUGUUAUUAGGGAAGCGGUACCUAAUCAGAAAGCCACGGCUAACUUCGUGCCAGCAGCCGCGGUAAUUC
rnacentral:rRNA from 1 species